CCCUGGGCAGCCGGGUCGCCACGGGCUUCCUGGCUCUCCAGGACCACCAGGGCCACAGGGUCCACCAGGAGAGAGUGCCGAGGGUCCGGGCAAGAAGGGAGACAGGGGAUUUCCUGGAGCUGAUG